rnacentral:rRNA from 1 species
CACGUAGGGUGCGAGCGUUGUCCGGAAUUAUUGGGCGUAAAGAGCUCGUAGGCGGUUUGUCGCGUCCUGCUGUGAAAACCUAGGCUCAACCUUGGGCUUGCAGUGGGUACGGGCAGACUAGAGUGCGGUAGGGUGACUGGAAUUCCGUGGUGUAGCGGUGGAAUGCGCAGAUAUCAGGAGGAACACCGAUGGCGAAGGCAGGUCACUGGGCCGCAACUGAC